GACGAACGCUGGCGGCGGGCUUAACACAUGCAAGUCGAACGGAAAGGCCCUGCUUUUGUGGGGUGCUCGAGUGGCGAACGCGUGAGUGACACGUGAGUAACCUGCUCUUGACUUUGGGAUAACUUCAGGAAACUGGGGCUACUACCGGAUAGGAGCUCCUCCUGCAUGGUAGGGGUUGGAAAGUUUCGGCGGUUGGGGAUGGACUCGCGGGUUAUCAGCUAGUUGGUUGGGUAGUGGCUUACCAAGGCUUUGACGGGUAGCCGGCCUGAGAGCGUGACCGGCGACAAUGGUACUGCGAUACGGACCAGACUCCUACGUGAGGCAGCAGUGGGGAAUAUUGCACAAUGGGCGGAAGCCUGAUGCAGCAACGCCGCGUGCGUGAUGACGGCCUUCGGGGUGUGAACCGCUUUCGCCUGUGACGAAGCGUGAGUGACGGUAAUGGGUAAAGAAGCACCGGCUAACUACGUG
rnacentral:rRNA from 1 species